ACUUCCUGAGCCGGAACGAAAAGCUUUUUUUGGAAUGCGUGUUCUGAUGGGCUUUUGGCUUACGGUUGUGAUGUUGUGUUGUUGUGUUUGCAAUUGGGUCUGCUAUUUCAGGCCACGGUAGCGAAGCUACCCUUUGUCACUUCCUGUACAUUUACCCUGUCUGUCCAUAGUGAUUAAUGUAGCACCGCAAAUGCGGUGCUUUUUUUU
rnacentral:other from 1 species